AUUAUAUUGUUCGGAAAAAAAAAAAAUCACACACUGCCCUUGAGAAAUAUACUAACCCUAAUACCCUGUCAGCCUCUUUUUCCUUUCAAACCCGCAGUCACACGCUCCCUCACGAACUCUCCGUCUCUGUUGUUUCCGACGCCAGCCCACGAUCUUCAACACCUCACACCGCCAUCACCAUUAAGAGCAAUAGAGAGAAAUGAACAAAACUCGGUUCUCACCACUAGACCUCGGCCACCGACGGACGCCGUUUCACAUGCCUCACAGAUCUGUUCUCUGCCCUGCCCAUACACUUUCGUCUCGGAAGUGCUUAUUCCAUUGAUAUCAAAGACCAUGAGAAUUAAAAGCUUCUGCACGGCGUCCAUGUCAUCUUGGUCUUCUUCUCUCCAAUUGUACUGAGAGAUUUUGACUACUACGGUGCACUGACUUCCCUUCUGUGGCUUCAAGCUCGAUCAACAGAUAUAGCCAAAAGAUUGGGUAUGUCUUCUACCUUUAAUUUCUUAUUUAAUUGCUCAAUGGUUUCCUUUUACUGCCUUUCUAAGGCCUUUGUCCAUGAGCAGCAAUGUUUGUUGCUUGGUUUGUCUUGUUCCUAUCCUACGCCCUUUAAUAAUUUGUUGAUUGUUGGCUUUUGGUUGCUUAUUGUUUUUGUGUACUUUGUUUCUAGACACUCUGGUCCAGUCAUAUUGUUUUCAGGUGAAAACUAUGGGUGGGUGGUUUUUAAGGUCAAGUAGAAUUAUUUGUGAUUGUCCUUGAGCUAUUGCUGGAAAACUGGGUAUAGUAAGGUACAAAACAUGUGUGUUGGGGACUACUCACAGAUCUCUCUAGUUCUAAGCAUCUCUUUUGGACAAUAUUAGGAUCCUAAACAUACUAGAUGUGUGUUAUAUUCUUCCCGUAGUUUUAACAAUUUGAAUGCUUUUUAUGAUUUUCUGACCAUUGUGAUUGAUGGCCUUGGGGAUACUUGUGGUUUGCAAAUUAGACUUUUUAUUAUCCAUCCCACCUAAUCUGUUAUUGCAAGUGAGUGAAUGACCAGAGGAUAGUCGCAUGCCUAUUAUUGAUAGAUGCAUCUUCUAAAUUGGAUCCUUUUGGUAGCAGUCGUUGAGAGUACACAACUAAGGAAUCUUUUUUUCAGUCAUAUAUGACUUCCAAUCUUGCUGUGAACAUACUUUUUUAUGCGUAGCUGCAGCUAAUGUUUAUAGAUGCAUCUUCUGAUUUUGAUCCUUUUAAGGUAGCAGUCAUUGAGAAAUAGUAUUUAACCUUCUUUUUUGUUUUUGGUCAAACAAAACAGUGCAAUUGUAUGACUUGCAUAGCUUGCGUUAACAUUGACACUUUGGGGUGGAUUGCCUUAGCUAAAUUUUGAGCAUAAUCACUGCAGCCUUGUUGAUUUGGAGUAUAAAUUUGUGGUAGUCCUGAGAGUUUGUGCGCAGGAAACUUGGAGGUCAGCUGAUGUUUUUCCAAGUAGACUUGCUCUGCUCUUGGCUGCAGAGAAUUGUCCCUUCUUUUCUCUAUUCCAUUCCUGUCUGCAUUUUAGUCCGGAAUCAAAACUUUGGUCCAGUCAUGCCUCUUGAGACUUACCGGAAUCCCAAGAAGAGGGACAGCGACGAGGUCGAGAUCAAGAUCGGCACGGCGCCGUUUUGGCAUAGGUUCCUCUUUAUUUUCUCCAAGAAAGACAAUUUUAUAGAGGGAACUUGUUUCAUAUAAUUGGAGUAAAUUCAUCAAUAUGUGGUUGAGAUUUUUUAUUUCCGGUAUUAAUUUCUGAUGGAAAGGAGAUUAUUUAGUUAUUUCUGGGUACAAUAUUGAUUGGGUUGUGAAUUCAUUGUAUGUUACUGUUUGGAUUCUGAUUAAUGGAAUUGUAUAUUAAAAAAAAAUUAGCACCAAUUUUUUUUUUGGAA